ensembl:lncRNA LINC01285 long intergenic non-protein coding RNA 1285
GCCUGCUUGUUUCGCCAUGCCCGGGCCGGACGGUGGGGCUGCAGCGGCGAAAGCGACUGAAGUCCGGGAGCAGUCGCAUGAGCUUCCCGGUCACCAGGAGGCCCCGGGAACAGACACCUCACCCUGACAUUGUGGCAGGAACUUCUGGAUUGCUUUCCAAAGUGGCUGCACUGUUUUCUAUCCCCACUGGGUUACCAGCAAUUAAAAAGAAGUACUAGAGAGGCAAAUAUCGGCAGUAUACAUCUAAGCGCUGGUCGGAAAAGAAGGAACUCAGCCCAAGAACUUGCCCAAUCUGAUACUGGAGGUGCCACUCAAGAACCACUCCCUCCAAGAUGUUUUCCUGGAUUUCCUCAGCCUAAAGUAAUCCCUCUUUUUCCUGGCUAUACCAUCUGGAACAGAUGACUUCCAAGGACACCGUAGCAAAGAAAAAGAGAACUGGAAGCCCAUGUGCCUUAAUCGCUUCAUCCUAGAGCUUCCUGAGACCUCCCCGGAGGCUGAUGCUGCCGUGCUUCCUGUACAGCCUGCAGUACUGUGAGCCAAAUAAACCUCUUUUCUUUAUAUAUUACCCAGUCUCAGGCAUUUCUUUAUAGCAAUGCAAGAAUGGACUAAUACAAAGUUCAUUCCAACCUUCAUGGAUGACUUUGAGGGGUUCAAGACUUCAGUGGAGGAAGUCACUGCAGAUGAGGUGGAAAUAGCAAGAGAACUAAAAUUAGAAGUGAAGCCCGAAGAUAUGAUUGAAUUGCUGCAAUCUCAUGAUAAAACUUGAACAGAUGAGGUAUUGCUUCUUAUGGAUGAGCAAAGAAAGUGGAUUUUUGAGAUGGAAUUUACUCCUGGUGAAGAUGCUGUGAACAUUGUUGAAAUGACAACAAAGGAUUUAGAAUAUGACAUAAACUUAGUUGAUAAAGCAGUGGCAGGGUUUGAGAGGACUGACUCCAAUUUUGAAAGAAGUUUCACUGUGGGUAAAAUGCUAUCAAAUAGCAUGGCAUGCUAUAAAGAAAUCUUUUGGGCCAGGUGCAGUGGCUCAUGCCUGUAAUCCCAACAUUUUGGGAGGCCGAGGUGGGUGGAUCACG